rnacentral:misc_RNA from 1 species
AACGCAUCUUGCACCCUGGGGUAUUCCCUAGGGUAUGUCUGUCUGAGUGUUAUUUGAACUCUCAAAGUUUCCUUCCUUUCGCGGGGUUGGUGUGCUUUGGAUCAUGGGCGCUUGUGGGCCAGGCUCGCUCGCCUCGAAUCGAAUGCGGCAGCUCGUUCCGAAGCCGUCGUUGGGUUUGACCCGGAGUGAUAGAAGUCUUUCGAGAUCUCUGGGAAACCGCUUUCGGGCGGUGCCUGCGUCGGUGGGACGGGUGUGUCACCCGACAGAUUCAUUUGACGUUUUUGACCUCAGAUCAGGCAGGAUUACCCGCUGAACUUAA